AACCUGACUUUGACGGCUCUGGCUCCCAGAUUCCCUGUCUUCCAAACCAGUGACUACCAGCUGUGGUUCCAGAUAAAUCUGGUUGUAGUGCUGGCCAGCUUCCGUCCUGAGGUUCUAGUGUUGAUCCCCGCCAACCUCACCUGUGACGCUUACGAUGCAAUAUUGAAAGGCCUGGAGAACGCUUUGGCACUUCUCCCAUCUCAAGCUGCAGUGGAGCUGACGUCAAGCAUCGAUGAACUUCUACAGUCACCACCAAAUGGCUGCACGCCUCCUCGCCC